GGAUGUGCGCUGUGUUAAGAAGCAGUGCGGCUUGGUUGGGUUGUGUAUCGGAGGACGCAUGACUUUCAACCUUCGUCUCUCCCGAGCCCUUACGGGAGUUGUAGUUGUAACAAUUGGAAGGCAAUGAAAUUGGGGAGAAAAAGGGGUAAAAUACAUUUUAAAUAUUAAAAUAAAUAAAAAAUACUGUCUUUUUGAUAACUGUUCAUAGACUGUCUAGAGUCACAGAAGAGGCAAAAAUUAGCAGGAAUGUUGAGUAAACUGGCCCAUCGGUGGCUGGUCAGUUUUUCCUUUGGACAGAAGACCAUGGCGUCUCAUGAGUAUAAGAAGCUCAAGGCUCUCCUGAAGGGGGGCCCACAUACAUGUGGGAAAGGUGGACUGCCUUACUGAGUCAGAACUGUGUGGCUCCCUCUACAUUCAAAAGCCCUGCAUUGCGGUCUUUAAAGGACUUGAGAUUCAUGACUUUGAGAUACACCAUGCGUGACCAGAAAGGGGAGCACGUCAACAGCCGGGAUGCUACUAACAUCGCCAACCUCCUCCGUCAGAGGUUCCAGCAGCUAUCUCCAUGGUUACAUGGCAAGGCCGCCAACUUCAAGGAUGAAUUGUAAGUUCAAGAGGGUCUAUUCGAGAAAUCCAAGAUUCACUGAGAUGCUUUUCCUUAAGGGAAAUGUAAACAAAGAACAGUCAAACCCACACACACUUAACAAACAUACUCCGAGAAGAGAGGUUUACUGUCGGUCUGUCAAAACAAUAUGUUUUUCAUUUCUCUAAACUGAUUCAUUGAUUAGUAAAGACUGACUCACUGUCUUGUCAGAGUUUUAAUAGUUAUAGAGGUGGAAUGUGUCCAUACGGUAGGUGCUGACCUGCCUGGUAUCUGAAUGUACUGUCUGAUGUAGGUUGGGGACAAUGUAUUUUAUUUGAUGAUACAAAAUGGCAGUUUCAGUUUAUAAUGGGCUUGAUUAAACUUGAACCGUUUGAGUGUAGAGAACAGUGUUUUAUUCAUUCUGUGAAGUGACCACACUGAAGUUAAUGUAGUGUUGGUAUGUUUGUCUGCUGAAAGUAACCUAGUUGCUCAGUAUGCAACCUCUGUAAACGGAGAAAAAGGAACCCUGUACACUUAAAAACAAUUAACAUGAAAUAUGUUGCCAAUACCAUCCACAUCAUUCACUCCACAUCAUUCACUCCACAUCAUUCACUCCACAUCAUUCACUCCACAUCAUUCACUCCACAUCAUUCACUCCACAUUAUUCACUCCACAUCAUUCACUCCACAUCAUUCACUCCACAUCAUUCAUCUAUCUGUUACGGUUUGCUGCAGUCUUGCAAAAGUUUAUUUUCAACAAAAAAAUAAAAAAUAAAAUACUAUUCUUAUGAUGUUUGAUAACUUAUGUGAGAACUUGUGAUCUUAAAUGCUAAUAGUGUCCCCUUUAAGACACUUCAAAGAGGUAUCCUUCUCUUUUCCUUUCAAGUUGUUUUGCAC